UAACACUGUGCUACCCGUAGAAUACGACGAAUCCUCUUGACAGCCUUAGCAAAUGGUACUGGCACAAAAAACGCGCAGAAGAAAGCGCUUUCAAACUUCUACCAUUCUCCCAUUUAACAGGUACUAACCUGACAAUCUAAAGGCACGAGGUGAGACUGAUACAAUAUUUUCAUGCUUUUCACAAACAUUAAUACUCUACCGGCCUUUGCGGCGAGCUUCUGUAGCCGUCUACUGAACCAGCCGAAAAUGACAUGGAAGUUUCCAGAAAAUGCGCACAACAACAAUGAACAACAUUUCGACACCAGUAACUCUCAUAUGGACGUGCGCUCGCGUCCACUGACAUCCACGAAAAUCCUCUCAAGGGCACAAGUAGGCAGGAACGCAGCAACGCAUACGGACACGACAUGUCCAAAUUUUUACAGUACACAUGUAGUGCGUACACGGCGGAACUUGUUGAUCGAUUAGCUUGCAAAAUGGCGUAAAUCUAUCUCUUUCUUUCUGUCUUUUUCUAUAUUAUGUACGUAUCGUUGCGGCCAGCACAAUGGGUGAAAACGUCAGUGGGAAAAAGAAACAGAGCAAGUUUAAGAAUCCAUUGUAUUGAUACACGAGAGUACCAUUGCUGCGGCUGCUAAUGUAACUACGUACACGAAAUGGCACUUAGUCUAACAUGGUUGAACGAGACGUGCAAGCUAACACGAUCAGUUAGUAGGAAUUAUGAAGGACAUUCACCACUGACUUGUGAGUUAUUUUUCUCCUUAGACGCUUCCUUUGCGUGGAACUAUAUAGCGUAUCGCAUCUGAACUAAGACAAACUUUGGCGGGCUUUUUGUCACAGCGGGAAUGCGUUCAUCCGCCACUCUUGCUAUCCUGAGCCUAUUCUUUCUAGAACAAAACAAAUUCGUCACAGAGGAAAACAAUGCACGUCUUUCGCAGUUUGAACGAGAAUAAACUAUUACCUAAUCUCUU